rnacentral:rRNA from 1 species
AGAGGUUGAUCCUGGCUCAGAGCGAACGUUAGCGGCGGGCUUAACACAUGCAAGUCGAACGAGAUGGGGCAACUCCUUAGUAAAGUGGCGAACGGGUGCGUAACACGUGGGUAAUCUACCUUUCGGCGUGGGACAACAGACCUAACGGACUGCUAAUACCACAUACGUCGGCGGGAACUCCGGUUCCUGUCGGGAAAGAUCCUGGCCACCGGAAGAUGAACCCGCGGCCCAUCAGCUAGUUGGCGAGGUAACGGCUCACCAAGGCUAAGACGGGUAGCUGGUCUGAGAGGAUGAUCAGCCACACUGGGACUGCGACACGGCCCAGACUCCUACGGGACGCAGCAGUGGGGAAUAUUGGGCAAUGGGCGAAAGCCUGACCCAGCCACGCCGCGUGAGUGAUGAAGGCCUUCGGGUCGUAAAGCUCUGUGGGGAGGGACGAUAAUGACGGUACCUCCUUAGCAAGCACCGGCUAACCAUGUGCCAGCAGCCGCGGUAAUACAUGGGGUGCAAACGUUGCUCGGAAUCAUUGGGCGUAAAGCGCACGUAGGCGGCCACUUAAGUCGGAUGUGAGAGCCCUUGGCUUAACCGAGGAAGUGCAUCCGAAACUGAGCGGCUUGAGUACGAAAGAGGGUCGCGGAAUUCCCGGUGUAGAGGUGAAAUUCGUAGAUAUCGGGAGGAACACCGGCGGCGAAGGCGGCGACCUGGUUCGAGACUGACGCUGAGGUGCGAAAGCGUGGGGAGCAAACAGGAUUAGAUACCCUGNNAGUCCACGCCGUAAACGAUGGAUGCUAGAUGUUUCUGGAUUGACCGGAGGCGUCGUAGCUAACGCGUUAAGCAUCCCGCCUGGGGAGUACGGCCGCAAGGCUAAA